rnacentral:lncRNA from 1 species
UAACCUAACCUGAUUUUCUAAGGUUUUUGGGGCCUAUAAAUACAUGUUUACACCCCUUGGCCAAAGGACAUUCCCCCAUAUUCAUCAUUUUAUCACAAAAAUUCGUCCAUACACACCCUAGGAAGCAAAACACCCCAAAAACACCAUUCUAGUGCCUAGAAAACAUAACAGCCACUCCACCUUCUUCCACCCUCUUUGCCCAGUUCUCCACCACCCUCCAACCAUCAAACACUCCUCCACACUCACCCUAAACCCUUCCAUACCAUUCCCCAUCCAUUCUACAUCAUAAAACUACCCAAAAUCUGUCCAUAACCCAAUUUGCCGCAAGCAUAGGGAAAGGAGGAAUCUUGGAUGCACUUGCUACCAAGUUGGAGCAUUUUAGGUGUUUUCUUUCCUUUGAUUUUAAUGUCUAAUUUUAUAUAUCUUUGCUUUGUGAGUAUAAGGAACUAAACCCCUCUUAGUUAGGGGGUGAUUCGAAACUAUGUUCAUACUUGCAAUAUGAUUUGAUUACAU